AUUGAACGCUGGCGGCAGGCCUAACACAUGCAAGUCGAGCGGAGCGGCGGACGGGUGAGUAAUGCCUAGGAAUCUGCCUGGUAGCGGGGGAUAACGUCCGGAAACGGGCGCUAAUACCGCAUACUAUCAGAUGAGCCUAGGUCGGAUUAGCUAGUUGGUGGGGUAACGGCCUACCAAGGCGACGAUCCGUAACUGGUCUGAGAGGAUGAUCAGUCACACUGGGACUGAGACACGGCCCAGACUCCUACGGGAGGCAGCAGUGGGGAAUUUUGGACAAUGGGGGAAAGCCUGAUCCAGCCAUGCCGCGUGUGUGAUGAAGGUCUUCGGAUUGUAAAGCACUUUAAGUUGGGAGGCGUUACCAACAGAAUAAGCACCGGCUAACUACGUGCCAGCAGCCGCGGUAAUAC
rnacentral:rRNA from 1 species